GAUGAACGCUAGCUACAGGCUUAACACAUGCAAGUCGAGGGGAAACGAUAGAGAAAGCUUGCUUUUUCUAGGCGUCGACCGGCGCACGGGUGAGUAACGCGUGGGUAACCUGCCUCAUACAGGGGGAUAGCAGCUGGAAACGGCUGGUAAUACCGCAUAAGCGCACAGCAUCACAUGAUGCAGUGUGAAAAACUCCGGUGGUAUGAGAUGGACCCGCGUCUGAUUAGCUGGUUGGUGAGGUAACGGCCCACCAAGGCGACGAUCAGUAGCCGACCUGAGAGGUUGAACGGCCACAUUGGGACUGAGAUACGGCCCAGACUCCUACGGGAGGCAGCAGUGGGGAAUAUUGGGCAAUGGGCGCAAGCCUGACCCAGCAACGCCGCGUGAAGGAAGAAGGCUUUCGGGUUGUAAACUUCUUUUAAGAGGGAAGAGCAGAAGACGGUACCUCUAGAAUAAGCCACGGCUAACUACGUG
rnacentral:rRNA from 1 species